UACGUAGGGUGCAAGCGUUGUCCGGAAUUAUUGGGCGUGAAGAGCUCGUAGGCGGUCUGUUGCGUCGGCUGUGAAAACCCGGGGCUCAACCCCGGGCCUGCAGCCGAUACGGGCAGACUAGAGUUCGGCAGGGGAGACUGGAAUUCCUGGUGUAGCGGUGAAAUGCGUAGAUAUCAGGAGGAACACCGGUGGCGAAGGCGGGUCUCUGGGCCGAUACUGACGCUGAGGAGCGAAAGCGUGGGGAGCGAACAGG
rnacentral:rRNA from 1 species